GUGAUCGCUUCGGCAGCACAUAUACUAAAAUUGUAAUGAUACAGAGAUUAGCAUGGCCCCUGAGGAAGGAUGGCACACAAAUUUGUGAAGCAUUCCGUAUUAAG